rnacentral:rRNA from 1 species
UGGGGAAUAUUGGACAAUGGGCGAAAGCCUGAUCCAGCGACGCCGCGUGUGUGAAGAAGGCCUGCGGGUUGUAAAGCACUUUCGAUGGGAACGAAAUGUGCCGGGUUAAUACACCGGCCAGCUGACGUUACUCAAUGAAGAAGCACCGGCUAACUCUGUGCCAGCAGCCGCGGUAAUACAGAGGGUGCGAGCGUUAAUCGGAAUUACUGGGCGUAAAGCGUGCGUAGGCGGUUAGUUAAGUCUGCUGUGAAAGCCCUGGGCUCAACCUGGGAACUGCAGUGGAUACUGGCUAGCUAGAGUGUGUCAGAGGAUGGUGGAAUUCCCGGUGUAGCGGUGAAAUGCGUAGAGAUCGGGAGGAACACCAGUGGCGAAGGCGGCCAUCUGGGACAACACUGACGCUGAGGCACGAAAGCGUGGGGAGCAA